GAUGAAGAACGUAGCGAAAUGCGAUAAGUAAUGUGAAUUGCAGAAUUCAGUGAAUCAUCGAAUCUUUGAACGCACCUUGCGCCCUUUGGCCAUUCCGAAGGGCAUGCCUGUUUGAGUAUCAUGAACACCUCAACUCUUUAUGGUUUUCCAUGAUGAGCUUGGACUCUGGGGGUUUUGCUGGCUCACAGUCGGCUCCUCUGAAAUGAAUCAGCUUACCAGUGUUUGGUGGGUAUCAUGGGUGUGAUAACUAUCUACGCUUGUGGUUUUUCCACCAGGUAACCUUCAGCAGUGGAGGUUCGCUGGAGCUCAUAGAUGUCUCUCCUCAGUGAGGACAGCCCUUUGAAUGUUUGAUCUCAAAUCAGGUAGGACUACCCGCUGAACUUAAGCAUAUCAAUAAGCGGAGGA
rnacentral:misc_RNA from 1 species